rnacentral:rRNA from 1 species
GAUGUAAAAGAAUUAUUUAUUGUUUAUUUGUUUUUGUUUUAAUAAAAAUAAUUUUUUAGAGUAGAUUUUUAGUAUAGAUUAUAGAAAAAAAUAUUUUUAUUAUAGUUAAAUAGUAUUGUAAAAGAAUUAAGAAUUAAAUUUUAAUAGUUUAAAAGUAAUAUUUAUUUUUUGUACCUUGUGUAUCAGGGUUUAUUAAUUAAUUAUUAUAAAUGUAUUUAAUUUUCCCGAUUUUAAGAGAGAGAAUAAAUAAUUUUUUUUAUUGUAAAAAAAAUAUUUAUAAUUAUUUAUUAGAAAUGAAAAGUUAUUCGUUCUUAAAGAUAUCUGGUUUAUUUAGAAAUGAAUUUAAUUCAGUUAAUUUUAUUUAUUUAUAUUAAUUAAUAUUUAUUUAAUAAAAUUAAUAAUGGUUAAGGGGAUAAGCUUUUAAUUGUUUUUUAUAAAUUUUUAUAUAAUUUUAAAUUUGUAAGUUUAGAAAUAUUUAUCAUUAAUAGUUUGUUUUAAUUAAUUUAAUUUUUGAUAUUAUUUUUUUAAUUUUAGUUUUUUAUAAAUAAAUUUUAUUUAAUUAGUAUGUAUUAGUUAUAAUGAUAAAAUUAGUAUAUUUGUUUUAUAAAUAAGGGAAAAAUUUAAUUAAUUUAUAGGAAUUCGGCAAUUAUUAUGUUCGCCUGUUUAACAAAAACAUGUCCUUUAGAGAAGAAUUUAAGGUCUAACCUGCCCAUUGAUUAUUUUAACGGCCGCAGUAUUUUGACUGUGCAAAGGUAGCAUAAUCAUUAGUUUUUUAAUUGAAAGCUUGUAUGAAUGGUUGGACGAGGCAUAACCUGUCUUUAUUUUAUAAUUAGAAUUUAAUUUUUAAGUUAAAAAGCUUAGAUUUAUUUAAAAGACGAGAAGACCCUAUAGAUCUUUAUAAUUAUAAAAAUUUAAUUUUUAAGGAUUAUUAAUUUUUAUAUUUUUAUUAUUAUUUGAUUGGGGUAAUAGAAAGAUUUGAUAAAUUCUUUUUGUUUUAAACAUUGAUAAAUGAUUUUUAUGAUCCAUUAUUAUUGAUUAUAAGAUUAAGUUACCUUAGGGAUAACAGCGUAAUUUUUUUUGAGAGUUCUUAUCGAUAAAAAAGUUUGCGACCUCGAUGUUGGAUUAAAGUUAAUUUUGGGUGUAGAAGUUCAAAAUUUUUAGUCUGUUCGACUAUUAAAAUUUUACAUGAUCUGAGUUCAAACCGGUGUAAGCCAGGUUGGUUUCUAUCUUUAAUUAGUUAAUAUAUUUUAGUACGAAAGGACCAGGUAUUUAAUAUAUGAUAUUUGAAUUUUGAAUAAGUUU